rnacentral:rRNA from 1 species
AUACGUAGGCUCCAAGCGUUGUUCGGAAUUACUGGGCGUAAAGCGAGUGUAGGCGGUCCGCCAAGUCGGUCGUGAAAUCUCCCGGCUCAACUGGGAGGGUGCGGUCGAAACUGACGGACUCGAGUGCGAGAGAGGAGAGUGGAAUUCCUGGUGUAGCGGUGAAAUGCGUAGAUAUCAGGAGGAACACCGGCGGUGAAGACGGCCAUCUGGACCGGAUCUGACGCUGAGGCGCGAAAGCGUGGGGAGCAAACAGGAUUAGAAACCCCAGUAGUCC